UAUUAUACCCAAAUAUUAGAAAUACACAAUUUUAUAACAGUAAAAAACAAUGGUAUUUCACAAACAAUUGCAGUCGUUAAUAAAUGCAGAAAAGCAUCAUCUACACGUUUCAUACGGUAUUCAGUUUAUAUGCAAACGCAUUUAAAUAUAUUUACCUCGAUACUCGACCAAGCUGUUGAAAAAUUAUAUUAAUUAGAACGAGAACAAGUAAGAUUAAUGUGUUGUUUUCACAUUUCUUUAAAUGGCUGCCAAUACCGCAUGUAAUAAAACAAUCGAAGCGCAUGCGCAUAAUAUAUGUUACACUCCACUAAACUAGUUGCAGCAAAGACAUUCACAGGCGUUCAUGUCACUUAUAUUCAUGAUAUUUCCAUAUGCGAGUGUGAUUGUAAACACAAGUUUCUGAAAACAGUGCGAAAAGGGGCAUUACGCAAAGCCAAUAAAUCUGCGCAGAUUUUUGUCAAUAUUGACAAUAAACUGCAUGUUUUCUUACCGUUAGUAAUCCGACAGUCCGUUGGUCACAUUGUGCAUUAGUCCGUUUAAGUUAUUAUUGCCUUACACUUUUCAAUAUAAAUUUAUGAACUUUAAACAAAAUAAGUAACUAACUAAGUAACUAUUUAACUGACUAACACGCGCGUUUUUUUUCCCAAUAUCCGAGACAUUUUACUUUCGCACCUUGCCCUCAAUGUCUGGCUUUUAAAGUUUACCGCCUUUUUGCGAAUACAAUGACGUUUACAUAUGAAUUGCCCAAUGAAAAUUUCGGCGGGAUGACGUCAGGCGCCAAAACUGGCGCGUGGUUUUUCCCGGUAUAGACCCAGUGUGUCAACGCUGUAAAUGCAUUGUGGGAAACGGACUAUUUCCAGCAUGGCGCCCGUAAAGAUUAUGAACACGGAAGUAAAAAUAGUAAUAAAUUAUUAUCAAAAACAGGCCUCAUCAAACCGGGUCAGCCAUGAUAUAUUCUUGGAUGCAGUUUGUGCUUCAAAAGGAGCUACUUUUCAUGCCAGCCUAUCGAUACUAUGUGGGAACUGGGAUUCGGGAUGCUCUCCCACUGGUAUCAUAUGCAGAUCAGUGGUCACAAGAACGUACACAACAUCAUUAAUGUCAGCAAUAUAUAUCUCCAACUUCAAACACACAGCUUGCAAAAUCGCUGAAUAUUGCACAAAAGCAGCUUCGUUACAAACUUCCAGCAACUCGAAAUCCACAAGCAGUCUCGUUCCCCACCCACUUUGACUUCGUAGCGAAGGCAUGUUUUUUUUGGGAAACCGUUAACAUCUCACAACUAAACGUAUACUACGGAGAUUGACAAGUUGAAAAAUAAAUUACUGUAAUCACUUCCAAUUUGCGCACUAAGUUAAACUCCAGUUCCAGUUUGUCUUUAUUGUUGAAAUGUUACUCUACACAUUCGCUUUGAAAAUAGAGGUUGGCGUGUUGUUGGAAGUACAUGUACAUGUCGAAUGUGUUAUUGUAAAAACUAUUGGUAUUGUGUUUUUAGUGCAGACAUUGUAUUUAAGUUUCGAUUUCUAGCAUAAAUUUAUAUAUUUUGUUAAAUAAUUUGCGUUUGAAUGUGAUUGUUUGUUGCUUACUUGCGAACUAUUUUUUAUGUGUAAAUAUGCAUAGACGCUAGUGGAUAUGUAAUCAGGUUACCAUAUUUACAACAAUAAAAUUUAACGGCUGUU